AGCCUGAUGCAGCGACGCCGCGUGAGGGAUGACGGCCUUCGGGUUGUAAACCUCUUUCAGUAGGGAAGAAGGGAAAGUGACGGUACCUGCUGAAGAAGCGCCGGCUAACUACGUGACACCAGCCGCGGUAAUACGUAAGGCGCAAGCGUUAUCCGGAAUUAUUGGGCGUAAAGAGCUCGUACGCGGUUUGUCGCGUCUGCCGUGAAAGUCCGGGGCUCAACUCCGGAUCUGCGGUGGGUACGGGCAGACUAGAGUGAUGUAGGGGAGACUGGAAUUCCUGGUGUAGCGGUGAAAUGCGCAGAUAUCAGGAGGAACACCGAUGGCGAAGGCAGGUCUCUGGGCAUUAACUGACGCUGAGGAGCGAAAGCAUGGGGAGCGAACAGGAUUAGAUACCCUGGUAGUCCAUGCCGUAAACGUUGGGCACUAGGUGUGGGGGACAUUCCACGUUUUCCGCGCCGUAUCUAACGCAUUAACUGCCCCGCCUGGGGAGUACGGCCGCAAGGCUAAAACUCAAAGGAAUUGACGG
rnacentral:rRNA from 1 species